rnacentral:rRNA from 1 species
GUAGGGAAUCUUCGGCAAUGGGCGAAAGCCUGACCGAGCAACGCCGCGUGAAUGAUGAAGGCCUUCGGGUUGUAAAAUUCUGUUAUAAGGGAAGAACGACUUUAGUAGGAAAUGGCUAAAGUGUGACGGUACCUUAUGAGAAAGCCACGGCUAACUACGUGCCAGCAGCCGCGGUAAUACGUAGGUGGCAAGCGUUAUCCGGAAUUAUUGGUCGUAAAGAGCGCGCAGGUGGUUGAUUAAGUCUGAUGUGAAAGCCCACGGCUUAACCGUGGAGGGUCAUUGGAAACUGGUCGACUUGAGUGCAGAAGAGGGAAGUGGAAUUCCAUGUGUAGCGGUGAAAUGCGUAGAGAUAUGGAGGAACACCAGUGGCGAAGGCGGCUUCCUGGUCUGUAACUGACACUGAGGCGCGAAAGCGUGGGGAGCAAACAGGAUUAGAUACCCUGGUAGUCCACGCCGUAAACGAUGAGUGCUAAGUGUUGGGGGUCGAACCUCAGUGCUGAAGUUAACGCAUUAAGCACUCCGCCUGGGGAGUACGGUCGCAAGAC